rnacentral:rRNA from 1 species
GACGAACGCUGGCGGCGUGCUUAACACAUGCAAGUCGAACGAUGAAGCAAAGAAUCGCAGCUUCGGCAGAAAUUCAUUUCGGAUUAGUGGCAGACGGGUGAGUAACGCGUGAGCAACCUACCUCUUACAAAGGGAUAGCCUCGGGAAACCGGGAUUAAUACCAUAUAACAUUGUGACGAAGCAUUUCGAUGCAAUCAAAGCUACGGCGGUAAGAGAUGGGCUCGCGUCCCAUUAACCGGAUGGUGAGGUAACGGCUCACCAUAGUGACGAUGGGUAACCGGCCUGAGAGGGUGAACGGUCACACUGGAACUGAGACACGGUCCAGACUCCUACGGGAGGCAGCAGUGGGGAAUAUUGCACAAUGGAGGGAACUCUGAUGCAGCGACGCCGCGUGAGUGAUGAAGGAAUUCGUUUCGUAAAACUCUGUUCUAUGGGAAGAAAAGGACUGUACCAUAGGAGAAAGCGCCGGCUAAAUACGUG